CAUGCAMGUCGAGCGGUAACAGAAAGUAGCUUGCUACUUUGCUGACGAGCGGCGGACGGGUGAGUAAUGCUUGGGAACAUGCCUUGAGGUGGGGGACAACAGUUGGAAACGACUGCUAAUACCGCAUAAUGUCUACGGACCAAAGGGGGCUUCGGCUCUCGCCUUUAGAUUGGCCCAAGUGGGAUUAGCUAGUUGGUGAGGUAAUGGCUCACCAAGGCAACGAUCCCUAGCUGGUUUGAGAGGAUGAUCAGCCACACUGGAACUGAGACACGGUCCAGACUCCUACGGGAGGCAGCAGUGGGGAAUAUUGCACAAUGGGCGAAAGCCUGAUGCAGCCAUGCCGCGUGUGUGAAGAAGGCCUUCGGGUUGUAAAGCACUUUCAGUCAGGAGGAAAGGGUGUGAGUUAAUMCCUCAUAUCUGUGACGUUACUGAMAGAAGAAGCACCGGCUAACUCCGUGCCAGCAGCCGCGGUAAUACGGAGGGUGCGAGCGUUAAUCGGAAUUACUGGGCGUAAADCGUACGCAGGCGGUUUGUUAAGCRAGAUGUGAAAGCCCCGGGCUCAACCUGGGAACUGCAUUUCGAACUGGCAAACUAGAGUGUGAUAGAGGGUGGUAGAAUUUCAGGUGUAGCGGUGAAAUDCGUAGAGAUCUGAAGGAAUACCGAUGGCGAAGGCAGCCACCUGGGUCAACACUGACGCUCAUGUACGAAAGCGUGGGGAGCAAACGGGAUUAGAUACCCCGGUAGUCCACGCCGUAAACGAUGUCUACUAGAAGCUCGGAACCUCGGUUCUGUUUUUCAAARCUAACGCAUUAAGUAGACCGCCUGGGGAGUACGGCCGCAAGGUUAAAACUCAAAUGAAUUGACGGGGGCCCGCACAAGCGGUGGAGCAUGUGGUUUAAUUCGAUGCAACGCGAAGACCCUUCCC
rnacentral:rRNA from 1 species